rnacentral:rRNA from 1 species
UGGGGAAUCUUUGGACAAUGGGGGCAACCCUGAUCCAGCCAUGCCGCGUGAGUGAUGAAGGCCUUAGGGUCGUAAAGCUCUUUCGCCUGUGAAGAUAAUGACGGUAGCAGGUAAAGAAACCCCGGCUAACUCCGUGCCAGCAGCCGCGGUAAUACGGAGGGGGUUAGCGUUGUUCGGAAUUACUGGGCGUAAAGCGCACGUAGGCGGACCAGAAAGUUGGGGGUGAAAUCCCGGGGGCUCAACCCCGGAACUGCCUCCAAAACUAUUGGUCUAGAGUUCGAGAGAGGUGAGUGGAAUUCCAAGUGUAGAGGUGAAAUUCGUAGAUAUUUGGAGGAACACCAGUGGCGAAGGCGGCUCACUGGCUCGAUACUGACGCUGAGGUGCGAAAGUGUGGGGAGCAAACAGGAUUAGAUACCCUGGUAGUCCACACCGUAAAACGAUGAAUGCCAGUCGUCGGGUAGCAUGCUAUUCGGUGACACA